rnacentral:rRNA from 1 species
GAUGAACGCUGGCGGCGUGCCUAAUACAUGCAAGUCGAGCGAACGGACGAGAAGCUUGCUCCUCUGACGUUAGCGGCGGACGGGUGAGUAACACGUGGAUAACCUACCUAUAAGACUGGGAUAACUUCGGGAAACCGGAGCUAAUACCGGAUAAUAUGUUGAACCGCAUGGUUCAACAGUAAAAGACGGUCUUGCUGUCACUUAUAGAUGGAUCCGCGCUGCAUUAGCUAGUUGGUAAGGUAACGGCUUACCAAGGCAACGAUGCGUAGCCGACCUGAGAGGGUGAUCGGCCACACUGGAACUGAGACACGGUCCAGACUCCUACGGGAGGCAGCAGUAGGGAAUAUUCCGCAAUGGGCGAAAGCCUGACGGAGCAACGCCGCGUGAGUGAAGAAGGUCUUCGGAUCGUAAAACUCUGUUAUUAGGAAAGAACAAAUGUGUAAGUAACUAUGCACGUCUUGACGGUACCUAAUCAGAAAGCAACGGCUAACUACGUG